GGGUAUAGCUCAGUGGUAGAGUGCAUGCCUAGGGUGCAUGAGGUCCGAGGUUCAAUUCCCAGUACCUCCA
rnacentral:tRNA from 1 species